UACGUAGGUGGCAAGCGAUACUCGGAAUCACUAGGCGUAAAGCGCAGGUAGGCGGUUUGAUAAGUCUGUUGUGAAAGCUCCCGGCUUAACUGGGAGAGGUCAACGGAAACUGUCAGGCUAGAGUGUGGUAGAGGUAGCUGGAAUUCCCGGUGUAGCGGUGAAAUGCGUAGAUAUCGGGAGGAAUACCAGUGGCGAAGGCGGCCUCCUGGAUCAACACUGACGCUGAGGUGCGAAAAGCGUGGGGAGCAAACAGG
rnacentral:rRNA from 1 species